AUUGAACGCUGGCGGCAGGCCUAACACAUGCAAGUCGAGCGGAGAGGCGGACGGGUGAGUAAUGCCUAGGGAUCUGCCUGUUAGUGGGGGAUAACGUCCGGAAACGGGCGCUAAUAUCGCAUACUAUCAGAUGAGCCUAGGUCGGAUUAGCUAGUGGGAGGGGAAAAGGCCUACCAAGGCGACGAUCCGUAACUGGUCUGAGAGGAUGAUCAGUCACACUGGAACUGAGACACGGUCCAGACUCCUACGGGAGGCAGCAGUGGGGAAUAUUGGACAAUGGGCGAAAGCCUGAUCCAGCCAUGCCGCGUGUGUGAAGAAGGUCUUCGGAUUGUAAAGCACUGUAAGUUGGGAGGCGUUACCAACAGAGUAAGCACCGGCUAACUUCGUGCCAGCAGCCGCGGUAAUUC
rnacentral:rRNA from 1 species